UACGAAGGGGGCUAGCGUUGUUUCGGAAUUACUGGGCGUAAAGCGCACGUAGGCGGGUUGUUAAGUCAGGGGUGAAAUCCCGAGGCUCAACCUCGGAACUGCCUUUUGAUACUGCAAAUCUCGAGUCCGGAAGAGGUGAGUGGAAUUCCUAGUGUAGAGGUGAAAUUCGUAGAUAUUAGGAAGAACACCAGUGGCGAAGGCGGCUCACUGGUCCGGUACUGACGCUGAGGAGCGAAAGCGUGGGGAGCGAACAGG
rnacentral:rRNA from 1 species